rnacentral:rRNA from 1 species
AGCGAACGCUGGCGGCAGGCCUAACACAUGCAAGUCGAACGAACCUUUCGGGGUUAGUGGCGGACGGGUGAGUAACACGUGGGAACGUGCCUUUAGGUUCGGAAUAACUCAGGGAAACUUGUGCUAAUACCGAAUGUGCCCUUCGGGGGAAAGAUUAAUCGCCUUUAGAGCGGCCCGCGUCUGAUUAGCUAGUUGGUUGAGGUAAUGGCUCACCAAGGCGACGAUCAGUAGCUGGUCUGAGAGGAGGAUCAGCCACAUUGGGACUGAGACACGGCCCAAACUCUUACGGGAGGCAGCAGUGGGGAAUCUUGCGCAAUGGGCGAAAGCCUGACGCAGCCAUGCCGCGUGAAUGAUGAAGGUCUUAGGAUUGUAAAAUUCUUUCACCGGGGACGAUAAUGACGGUACCCGGAGAAGAAGCCCCGGCUAACUUCGUG